rnacentral:rRNA from 1 species
AAGAGAGGAGCUUGCUCUUCUUGGAUGAGUUGCGAACGGGUGAGUAACGCGUAGGUAACCUGCCUUGUAGCGGGGGAUAACUAUUGGAAACGAUAGCUAAUACCGCAUAACAAUGGAUGACACAUGUCAUUUAUUUGAAAGGGGCAAUUGCUCCACUACAAGAUGGACCUGCGUUGUAUUAGCUAGUAGGUGAGGUAACGGCUCACCUAGGCGACGAUACAUAGCCGACCUGAGAGGGUGAUCGGCCACACUGGGACUGAGACACGGCCCAGACUCCUACGGGAGGCAGCAGUAGGGAAUCUUCGGCAAUGGGGGCAACCCUGACCGAGCAACGCCGCGUGAGUGAAGAAGGUUUUCGGAUCGUAAAGCUCUGUUGUAAGUCAAGAACGAGUGUGAGAGUGGAAAGUUCACACUGUGACGGUAGCUUACCAGAAAGGGACGGCUAACUACGUGCCAGCAGCCGCGGUAAUACGUAGGUCCCGAGCGUUGUCCGGAUUUAUUGGGCGUAAAGCGAGCGCAGGCGGUUUGAUAAGUCUGAAGUUAAAGGCUGUGGCUCAACCAUAGUUCGCUUUGGAAACUGUCAAACUUGAGUGCAGAAGGGGGAGAGUGGAAUUCCAUGUGUAGCGGUGAAAUGCGUAGAUAUAUGGAGGAACACCGGUGGCGAAAGCGGCUCUAUGGUCUGUAACUGACGCUGAGGCUCGAAAGCGUGGGGAGCGAACAGGAUUAGAUACCCUGGUAGUCCACGCCGUAAACGAUGAGUGCUAGGUGUUGGAUCCUUUCCGGGAUUCAGUGCCGCAGCUAACGCAUUAAGCACUCCGCCUGGGGAGUACGACCGCAAGGUUGAAACCUCAAAGGAAUUGACGGGGGCCCGCACAAGCGGUGGAGCAUGUGGUUUAAUUNGAAGCAACGCGAAGAACCUUACCAGGUCUUGACAUCCCGAUGCUAUUUCUAGAGAUAGAAAGUUACUUCGGUACAUCGGUGACAGGUGGUGCAUGGUUGUCGUCAGCUCGUGUCGUGAGAUGUUGGGUUAAGUCCCGCAACGAGCGCAACCCCUAUUGUUAGUUGCCAUCAUUCAGUUGGGCACUCUAGCGAGACUGCCGGUAAUAAACCGGAGGAAGGUGGGGAUGACGUCAAAUCAUCAUGCCCCUUAUGACCUGGGCUACACACGUGCUACAAUGGUUGGUACAACGAGUUGCGAGUCGGUGACGGCAAGCUAAUCUCUUAAAGCCAAUCUCAGUUCGGAUUGUAGGCUGCAACUCGCCUNCAUGAAGUCGGAAUCGCUAGUAAUCGCGGAUCAGCACGCCNCGGUGAAUACGUUCCCGGGCCUUGUACACACCGCCCGUCACACCACGAGAGUUNGUAACACC